rnacentral:misc_RNA from 1 species
ACACCCUCAACCUUUCUUGGUUUAUCGACCAGGAAGGCUUGGACUUUGGAGGUUUUUGUUGCUGGCCUCGUUUGAAGCCAGCUCCUCCUAAAUGAAUUAGUGGGGUCCGCCGUGCCGACCCUCGACGUGAUAAGUACGCUUCUACGUCUUGGGGUUUCGCACCGUUGCCCGCUUCCAACCGUCUUUGAAUGAAGACAACGUUCGAGUUGCGACUCGACCUUAUAAA